CUGAACUAAAUCUAUUAAGUGUGUCUCUGCCUCAA
rnacentral:piRNA from 1 species